rnacentral:rRNA from 1 species
UACGGAGGGUGCAAGCGUUAUUCGGAAUUACUGGGCGUAAAGCGCGUGUAGGUGGCUAAUUAUGUCAGGUGUGAAAGCCCUCGGCCUAACCGAGGAAGUGCGCCUGAAACUGAUUAGCUUGAGUACGAGAGAGGAGGACGGAAUUCCUAGUGUAGAGGUGAAAUUCGUAGAUAUUAGGAGGAACACCGGUGGCGAAAGCGGUUCUCUGGAUCGAUACUGACACUGAGACGCGAAAGCGUGGGGAUCAAACAGG